AUACUCAACAACAAAGGCAUACGGUGAAUGCCUAGGUCGAAAGUACCGAUGAAGGACGCACUAGACGGCGAUACUCUCCGGGGAGCUGCCAAGAAGCUUUGAUCCGGAGGUUUCCGAAUGGAGUAAUCCAUCCGUAAGGAUACCAUCAACUGAAUUCAUAGGUUGGUGGAGGGUACGCGCUGAACUGAAACAUCUAAGUAAGCGCAGGAAAAGAAAUCAAUAGAGAUUCCCCCAGUAGCGGCGAGCGAAAAGGGAACAGCCUAAACCUAGUCCAGACAUCAGAUUUCGGAUGUCGGAUUUCGGAUUAUGAUGAAAUUGAUUGAAGAAUUAACUUCAAAGUAAUCUGACUUCUGAUAUCUGACAUCCGACGUCUGGAUUGGGGGUUGCGAGGCCAACAGUAGCGAGUAGUGAAGAUAGCAGAAGCCACUGGAAAGUGGCGCCGAAGAGGGUGAUAGCCCUGUAUGCGAAAUCUAAACUACCGUGGUUGGAUCCUCAAGUAGUCCAGGACACGUGAAAUCCUGGGUGAAUCCGGGGCGACCAUGCCCUAAGGCUAAAUAUACUUUCGGACCGAUAGUGAACUAGUACCGUGAGGGAAAGGUGAAAAGAAGGGCGGAACGCCCAGUGAAAUAGUACCUGAAACCGUAUGCUGUCAAGCUGUGGAAGGGAUGUACCAUUACGGUACGUCCUAACCGCGUGCCUAUUGAAGAAUGAACCGGUGAGUUGUCCUGUACUCCAAGUCUAAGUGCCGUAAGGCACAGAAGGCGUAGUGAAAGCGAGCCCUAACCGGGCGUCUAGGAGUGCACGGCAGACCCGAAACCGAGUGAGCUAACCAUGUCCAGGGUGAACUUCGCCGAAAGGCCGAGGGAGGCCCGAACCCGUUACUGUGGCAAUAGUUUGGGAUGAGAUGUGGUUAGAGGUGAUAUGCCUAACGAACUCGGAGAUAGCUGGUUCUCCCCGAAAUAUAUCUAGGUAUAGCCCUGUGCAAUCAAAUAGGGGGUAGAGCUCUGGAUGGAUCUGAGUGGCGCAAGCUAUUCAAUCCAAUCAAACUUCAAAUACCUAUUUGUGUAGCAGGAGUCAGUCCGAUCCGGCUAAGCGGAGCGGGCCUGAGGGAAACAUCCCAGACCGUCAGUUAAGGUCCCUAAAUAACACUUAAGUGUCAAAGGAUGUGAGGUUCCUUAGACAGCCAGGAGGUUGGCUUAGAAGCAGCCAUCCUUUAAAGAAAGCGUAACAGCUCGCUGGUCUAGUUACGGAAUCUUGCGCCGACAACGAAUCGGGGCUAAAGUGUUUACCGAAACUACGGAUCAAGUCCGGAUAUCAGAGUUCGGAUGUCAGAUUUCGGAUCAUGUUAAGAUUAAAUUAUGCAAGACGUGAGCGAUCUAAGAGUGUAUCAGCAUUCAAUGAAGUUAUUGGAUGAUAUAAACCUCUUUUUAGACAAACUACCUAAAAAGGAUUAUGAUCUUUUUCAUCAACUUUUAAGGGCAGCAAGGUCGAUCCCUGCACUUCUUGCAGAAGGAUUUGCUAAAAAAUCUUCACAAAGAGAUUUUCGAAACUUUGUGAUUAUGGCGAUGGGUUCGUCAGAUGAGGUAAUUACUCAUCUGAGAAUUGCUAAAGCAAGCCAGUCUUUAAUUGAAGAAUAUAAAUCUGUUUCUAAACAGUUAAAUAGUUUAGCCCAGAAAUUAUCUUCGUAGUCCGAUCUCCGAUAUCUGAGUUCCGAUUUCCGGGCUUGGUGGUAGGGGAGCGUUUUGAUUGGAGUGAAGCUGCACUGUGAGGUGUGGUGGACUGAUCAGAAGUGAGAAUGCCGGUAUGAGUAGCGAAAGUCCGAUGAAAAAUCGGACCGCCGAAAGCCCAAGGUUUCCUGAUCCAUGUUAAUCAGAUCAGGGUUAGUCGGCACCUAAGACGAGGCCAAAUGGCGUAGUCGAUGGACGACCCGUUAAAAUUCGGGUACUUGGAUUACUCGAUAAAGACUCUACGGAGGGACAAAGUGGGAAUAUUUGAGCCCUGCACCAUACGGUGCGGGGUCUAAGUAAUGAGGUGUAAGCCUCUAGUGCCGUAAGGCACUGCAAGCUAGUGAGUGCAGGUAAAUCCGCACUUAGUCUGUGCAAAUGGACCGUUCCGACGAGUCGUUAAGACGACGUCGGAAUGCAUAAGCAAGUUGCGAAUGCGCAAGUCAGAAAGUUUCUGUUUUCAAGAAAAGCUUCGUAGAGGAGGUAAUUUAAGCCGUACCAUAAACCGACACAGGUGGGCGAGUUGAGUAUACAAAGGCGAUCGGGAGACCUAUCCUUAAGGAACUCGGCAAUACAACUGGACGUAAGUUAGCAAGAUGUCCUGGGGUGUACCAUACGGUACGCCCUUGCAACAAACGACGCUGAGCGACUGUUUAACAAAAACACAGGUCCCUGCUAAAGCGAAAGCUGAUGUAUAGGGGCUGACACCUGCCCAGUGCCAGUAAUUUAAUGUUUCAGGUGACCCAAAGAAGCAAUUCUGAGGUGAGCUUGGGGCCUAAGAUCUGGUGAACGGCAGCAGUAACUAUAACUGUUCUAUGGUAGCGAAGUUCCUCGGACUGUAGGGUAUAUUAAUACCUGACAGACAGGGGACCAUAUCGAGUAAUUGAUAUGCGAAAACUUGGUAAAAUGCUGGAAUAUCUGAGAAUCCGGUACUAGUUGACAUUUGGGUUUUAUUCGGUAUACGAUGAAUCUAAUGCCAACUGACAAUGUACCCGGUGCAGACAAUCAGCAGGAUGCGUCUCGAUUUUGCAAUAACUAUUACACUGGCUUUUGCGUUGGAGAGUUGAGUUGUUCUGUAAUAAGAGCAACAGACAAAAGGGGCAGAGGUUUUUACUUCAUGCCUGAUAUUACAAUUUCCAAUGCAGAUUUAGAGCUUCUGAAAGAGAUCAACUCAGUAAUUUCUUUGAAAGAAGGGAAUAUUUCUCCUAUUAAAGGAGGAUAUAACCUAAAAUUUCGAGGUAAAAGAAAAGUUGAGCUGGUAUUACAAUUUUUUAGUAAAUAUCCAGUUCUCGCAGGAGAUAUAGCCAGAAGAAAGUUAGAACUUUUGAAGAAUGUUUUACCGGCAAUCGGUAAAGAUUCGAAAGUUCAAAAUAGACUUCAGAUAAUAGAAAAGUGUCGUGAAGAUUUAAAAGACCUUAAGCACAAUGUUUUUUCUAGGGAGAAAAUUAAUACUCGUCGUUUUUGUAAUGACGAGGUUGGUUUCUUUUUAGCAGGAAUUAUUGAUGCUGAAGGAUCAUGUGGUUUGAAAAAAUCAGGUUUAAGAAAAGAACCAUACUUUGCAGUAGCGAUGAAAGAUCGGAAAAUUAUUGAAUUAAUAAAAGACUUUCUUAGCUGUGGUUAUAUACACUUGCGAAGUGAUGACGGUUUAUUCCAUUGGGAAAUAAAUAAAAAAUCUGAUGUUUUAAAAGUUAUUGAAAUCUUUACAACAACAUAUCCUUCAAAGUUAGCAAAAAUGAAGGAAAGAAUGCAGAAUGUGAGACGAACCCUCAACGACUAUACACCAAGAGUCCGGUGAAGAUCGGAUUAUGAUAUAGUCUGAACCCUGCAGCGAUGUAGGGAGUUGAGCAGAAAUGACUCAAUCUUUUCGAGUAAUCGGAAAAGUAACAAUAUUGUGUCUGGUGAGUUCAGACCCGCACGAAAGGUAGAACGACUUAGCGACUGUCUUGAGGAUAGACCCGGCGAAAUUGCAGUGGCUGUGAAGAUGCGGCCUUCCCAUACUUGGACAAAAAGACCCCGUGGAGCUUUACUGUAGCAUCUGGGCGGGUAACAAGGUCUGGCGGGCAGUUUAACUGGGGCGGUUGCCUCCAAAAGAGUAACGGAGGCGUACAAAGGUACACUUGUCUCCAAUGGCAACGGAGAAUAAAGCGCAAAAGCAGAGAGUGUGCUUGAUAGUGAGACCCACAAGUCGAACUAGUGCGAAAGCAGGUUUUAGUGAUCCCUACUUUGCUUAUGGGAGCGAGUAGGCUUAUCGGAUAAAAGCUACCCCGGGGAUAACAGGCUAGUGAUACCCAACAGUCCACAAGGACGGUAUCGUUCGGCACCUCGAUGUCGGCUUAACCUUAUAUAAAGGUUUGGGUCCUCUAGUGAGAAAUUAUUAGAGCAAAUUGGCUAAUAACGGUGAACUCCUACUUGAUUUCGGGUAACCUUUGGGUUAUCUUGGAAUUAAGGGACAAUACCGUGGGAAGUCAGUUAGUAUGGAGGUUAGAUGUUAGAGGUCGGAAGAUGGAUAAAGAGAUUGGAAGUUUGAAGUUGGUAAAGUACAAUCUAUCUAGUGAUCCAAAGUUUUAAAGAUCUAAAAGUAUACCAGGAAUCGUAUGAAUUGGCUGUUUUAAUUAACAGAUCGAUUUUAAGAUUGCCAAACAGUGAGAAGUAUGAUCUGGUAGACCAGAUGCGCAGAGCAUCGAAGUCUAUACCAGCUAAUAUCGCUGAAGGGUAUGCCAAAAGAUUGUCUGAGAAAGAGUUUAAGAGAUAUCUUUUAUCAGCAACCGGAUCAUGUAAUGAAAUGUUUGUACACAUCAGUUUUGCAAAAGAUUUAGGUUUUUGGAAACCUGAAUUCUGUGAGGAUUUACUAAAACGAUAUGAUAUCGUUGGUAAACAACUCACCAGGCUAUGGCAGAACUGGAAAACCUAUCCAACAUCAAACAUCUAAAUUCAUAAUCUAUUUUCUAAUUUCUAACAUCUAACUUCUCUCUAACUUGACCCCGUAACGACUUGAUUUCAGAAGCAAUUUUUAGCGUAUCAGAUAUUGCUUAAUAAACUGAGACUAAAUAAGGGUACUAGAUAAUCUAGGUUUAAACUUUAUUUAUAUGCCAACCCCCUACCCGUACGGGAGGGGGAAGAUAUAGUCUACACUUGUAGGAAUACAAGAAUGAUGUGCAUCACAUCCUGCGGCUGAAGAAGGUCGCAAGGGUCGGGCUGUUCGCCCGUUAAAGUGGUACGCGAGCUGGGUUCAGAGCGGCGUAAGCCAGCUCGGACUCUAUCCAGUAUGGGCGUUUGGAUUCUUGAGGGAAGUUGUCUCUAGUAAACACGUUUGCCGUUUACAACGGUAAAGCAAUUUGCUACUUGGUCGAGAAAUCGAUCAUGACAAUUCGGCUAAUAACGGUGAAGCCCUCUUGAUUUUGGGUUUUAUUUGGUUCUAUAAUAAACUCAAUAGAAAAAAUCAAUGGGUAAUACCGUGGGAAGACGGUUGAUAGAAAUUAGAUGUUAGAGGUUGGAGGAUAGAUAAAGAAGUUAGAAAUUGGAGAUUGGAAAAUCCAACUUCUAUCUUCUAACAUCCUAUUCCAGCUUCUAAUUUCAAACAUCAAACUUCUAACAAUUUGUCCCUGUAACGACUUAUAUGGAAGGUACCGGAUAAUCCGGAGCAUAAACUUCCAUUACAUGCCGACUCCGUAACACUUAGGGUGACGGAGAAGAUAUAGUCUGAUCCUCAGCGAAAGCUGAGAAAACAUAAUGACGAGAGGACCGAGAUGAGGAAACCUCUAGUGUGCCGGUUGUACCAAAAGUGCAGCGCCGGGUAGCUACGUUUCUUCCUGAUAAGCGCUGAAAGCAUCUAAGCACGAAGCAGAUCCCAAGAUUAGGAAUCCUUAAGCAGAGCUUGCGAAAGCAGGAGCUGCUUUCUAAAGACCCCUGGGAGACUACCAGGUUGAUAGGUUAGAGGUGGAAGCGCUGUAAGGCGUUAAGCCUACUAAUACUAAUGGUCAUAGUUGAGAUUUU
rnacentral:rRNA from 1 species